GUGCCUAACACAUGCAAGUCGAACGAGAAAGUGGAGCAAUCCAUGAGUAAAGUGGCGACCGGGUGAGUAACACGUGACUAACCUACCUCCGAGUGGGGAAUAACUCCGGGAAACCGGGGCUAAUACCGCAUAACAUCGCAAGAUCAAAGCAGCAAUGCGCUGGGAGAGGGGGUCGCGGCUGAUUAGCUAGUUGGCGGGGUAACGGCCCACCAAGGCGAAGAUCGGUAUCCGGCCUGAGAGGGCGCACGGACACACUGGAACUGAAACACGGUCCAG
rnacentral:rRNA from 1 species